UACGUAGGUCGCAAGCGUUGUCCGGAUUUACUGGGCGUAAAGAGCGCGCAGGCGGCUGGCCAAGUCCGAUGUGAAAUCUCCCGGCUUAACCGGGAAACUGCAUCGGAAACUGGUCGGCUUGAAGGUGGGAGAGGGUAGCGGAAUUCCCGGUGUAGUGGUGAAAUGCGUAGAUAUCGGGAGGAACACCAGUGGCGAAGGCGGCUACCUGGCCCAUUCUUGACGCUGAG
rnacentral:rRNA from 1 species